rnacentral:rRNA from 1 species
GACGUAGGUGGCGAACGUUAUCCGGAAUUAUUGGGCGUAAAGGGUGCGUAGAUGGCCUGAUAAGUUAACAGUGGUAAAUCGAGGCUCAGCCUCGUGGAAACUGAUAAUACUGUCUGGCUCGAGUACAGAAGAGGUUAACGGAAUUCCAUGUGGAGCGGUAAAAUGCAUAGAUAUAAUGGAAGAACACCAAUAACGGCGAAGGCAGUUAACUAUUCUGUUACUGACAUUGAGGCACGAAAGCGUGGGGAGCAAAACGG